rnacentral:lncRNA from 1 species
GCAUAGAUAUCUCUAAAUAUUGUGCAGUUGUAAUACCCAUAUUUAUAACAAAACAACUCAAGAAAACACCAUAGAAGUCUCUAAAUAUACCUCCACAUGCAGCAUAACUAGGACAUCCAAAUGAAGCUCAAUCAAUAUUUCAUUUAAUGAAAUUAUCUAUGGAAUGACGCCAAAUCACUUCCUUGAUGGUAGGCGGUGUAGGAGGUUGAGUUCCAAAUACUUGAGAAUUUAAUUCUCCUGAAUAUAAUUUGUGAAUGUACUAGAAGUGUGAUUGUUAAAUAAAUAUACAUUGACAAUAACUAUUGAAAACCAAGUUUCUUUCCUUCAAAUCGAGCUUUAUUUCUACAAUAUCAAAUAGUAUCAAUAGUAAAGAUGAUGUUGACCAAAAUAUAUCUCUGCAUUGAUGAGACCAACCUUUGUAACAUAUAACAAGAAGAUGUUUAAUCGAACUACUUUAAAUUUGAGAGUGAAAAAUAGAUCUUAACCAAGACCAGAGCUUAGUUGCAAAAAAACAGAAUAAAAAGACAUGAAUGCUAGUCUCCAUUUUACAUUUAUAGAGCUCACAUCUUGAAGCAAUUUUAAAACCUUGAGAGAUUAAAUUGUCACAUGUAAGCAUCUUGUUACUAAAAAUCUCUAAAAUCUAAGAGACUUUGAAGAAGGAAUGCUAAUAUGUCAAAAUAGCUAUGGGCCAAAGAAUUUGUUUCCCUAAAGGCUGCUUCAAGAAUAUAUAAGCUUUCUUAAAACAUAAAACUCCAUAAUUGUUUAAUUCUCAAACUAAAUGAUUUAGCAUUGGCCAGCAAGACCGCUAGUUGAGGGUAAGUAUGUAAGAGAAU